rnacentral:rRNA from 1 species
CCUACGGGAGGCAGCAGUGAGGAAUAUUGGUCAAUGGACGAGAGUCUGAACCAGCCAAGUAGCGUGAAGGAUAACUGCCCUAUGGGUUGUAAACUUCUUUUAUAUGGGAAUAAAAUGUUCCACGUGUGGGAUUUUGUAUGUACCAUAUGAAUAAGGAUCGGCUAACUCCGUGCCAGCAGCCGCGGUAAUACGGAGGAUCCGAGCGUCAUCCGGAUUUAUUGGGUUUAAAGGGAGCGUAGGUGGAUUGUUAAGUCAGUUGUGAAAGUUUGCGGCUCAACCGUAAAAUUGCAGUUGAAACUGGCAGUCUUGAGUACAGUAGAGGUGGGCGGAAUUCGUGGUGUAGCGGUGAAAUGCUUAGAUAUCACGAAGAACUCCGAUUGCGAAGGCAGUUCACUGGACUGCAACUGACACUGAGGCUCGAAAGUGUGGGUAUCAAACAGGAUUAGAUACCCCUGUAGUC